rnacentral:piRNA from 1 species
GUCUAGAUUUAGGGUCUGUGGUUAAGAUA